rnacentral:ncRNA from 31 species
UACUUGCAUCAAGAGCUUCCGCCCAGGCGGACGACAACCUUAGAGUUAAGGUGCCCAAUAUGAUGUGGUCCGUGAAGUCUUUGACGAAGUGGACAAACUUAUGAUAAAUA